UAAGUGAACCUGCGGAAGGAUCAUUA
rnacentral:rRNA from 1 species